UCUGCUGCUGACCUGUUGUGCUCCUCUCUCACGAAUCGUGCUUCAGGCCUCACACGGGAAAAGAAGUGAAACAGAGAAAGAGAAGAGUGCAAAGCAGUUCCUCCUCCAAGAGCUGUAUCGGCGAUUAGCUCGGUCUCUUGUGACCGUGCAGCCGCGUUCACGACACCAUUACCAGGUGCUGCGGGAGUCGGGGAGAGCUGCGCACGGCUGAGGUGCUUGUUGCCAGCACAAGCAUCCACCUCACAGGGCAGGACUUGGCUCUGGGGCUGUGGAGCCUGGAGAGGGAGAUUCUACUGCAGCCUUUGCAUACCUCAAGGGGGCUUACGGGGAAGCAGCUGGUUCUGCAUGGGAAAGGAAACACAGAAUAAAUACAAGUCCCAGAGAGGUAAUCUAGUCCAGCAAGUGUGCUCUUCACUAAAUGCCUGUUGGAAAACUGUCCUAGGACCUACAGUGAAUCUGCCAGUGUUGCCUGUUUGGUGACCACUCAGCCUCAUCUACCACCAAGCACAUCUUAUGUGGCUGUUUAUUAGUUUUCCUGAAGUUUAGGAGCCCAGGGUGACCCUACUGUUUGCGUGACAAACAGCUUAUUUUGUCAGUAACUCUUUCAAAUGUUCAGGACACGUUCAACUCAAGGAUCACACUCCAACCAUUUGUGCAUGUGCAGUAGGUUGGGUUUGGUCCUACUAAGAUGGGUGGAUCUGCGACAGUGAGGGGUUUAAUGGUACUAUAGGAUUGAUUGAGAGAAAAUUCUCAUAUGUAACUUAAAUCUGUCCUUUUACAUUACUACUUUUUAUUCAAAUGUG